UUUGCAAAGAGGCUGAAUCAGCUGCAAUACCCCCACACUUGAACCACUGCUUCCCUGCCUGCUCUCUCUCCACCCCCAACCCCAGUUCCAUGGUUAUUGCAUUGCAUUGCACACACACCCCAAAGCUUGCUGCACCCCAAGGCGCUUUGCACUCAGCGGAUUCCUUGCAGGACAAGGGCAGUGCAGGACAGCAGAGAGGGCGGGUCAGCUGUUCCACUUAAGCCGGGCCCCCUUUCCCAGGUCAGUAUGGAACAGCCCCACCUUCUCUUUCUCUCUCUCUAUGGCAGCUUGCACUCUCUGGCUUUAACCCUUAAGGCAACGAGCAUCUGUUCCCUAUAUUCGAAGCCCAGGUUCCCUCCCUUCCCUCCCCAUUGGCUGGGUCCUGCAAUUAUCCCGCCCCCGGAAAUAUCCUGCCUCCCUGGCGGGGGCUCCCAUUCCCGCCCCCGCUGCUCAGGGUCGCUGCCACCAUCGCCAGGAUUUCGGGAAGCUACAACUUGCCUUGGCUUAUUUGCUUCUCAAGAUGUUGAACCUGCAAACCUGGUCAGGAUGGACAGAGGAAUAUGGACAGCUGACCUGCUCAAGCUGUCUCCCGCAUCCCUCCCUGCAACCUCUGAUCAUCCCCUCCCAGGGCCCUCGGAGAAAUCUGUUGAGUUCCAGGGGAGAGGAGAUGGGGACAUGGAUGGCUGGAUGGUGGAGGGAGAAAGAGGAAAAGAUGGAGAGGAGACCAAAGGCAGGAAGGGCCAGGCAGGAAGAAAGGAAGGAGGGAGGGAGGGGUGAGGCCUUUUUCAAAGCAGCUCUUUGUUUUUGGAAUCCCUUUCAUAAAGUAGUGGGGGCAGAUUUUCUUUCUCUGUGCUUUUAAAUCUCUGGUGUUAUUUCCACUGCAGGAUUAAGUGACGAAAAUGAUGUUGCACACCAAUCCAGGAAAAUGGGUGAAGGGGGCUAUGGUGAGGAAGACGAUGGUCAGAAUUCUACGGAGCCAUCUGUGAAUUCAU